CAUCUGACGUUAAAACGGUGGAAGACGGCCAUCUUUAUUCGACGCUACGACGCAGAAGAGGACUGUCCUGAACCUCGUAACUGUUCUCAAGUAAUUUUGUGUGUACAUAUAGAAUAUAAAUACCAGUUUAUUGAGAUAUUGUAUUGCAAGUUGUAAAAAAAUAUCCAACAAAGUGUAAAUGAUCAUGGUUGUACUCUUCACGAAGAUUGCAAAGUGGUAUACAUUUAGACCCAGUGGAACUACAUCUACACAUCACUUGUUCAUCCCCAUGGUCAUGUUUGCAGAGGAAGGGCUUCUUAGGAGACACCUUGUUUCAUGGGUGUGCAGUUAAACUUCCUCCUUUCAGGAAAGAAGAGAAGUUGCAGUGUUUGAAAACAAACAGGACCUGUGCUGUAAUUUGGAGGUGGAUGGACACUGGUGCCAUGGAUGUAGAAGAGCCAACUCAUGCAAAGAAAUGUAACUGUUCAGAUAGAGAACAUCAUUAUGAUGGAGGCAACAGUGACCUUGAAAUGUUGGUACUUUUACCAGACUGCAUAUUGGUGCAACCCAGAAGAAGCCAUCUUUCUUCUCACCACAAUGAAAACCUGGAAUCAUCUAACUGAAUGUAUGUUUGGCUGCCAUUUUUACAUUACAUUUUGCAGAGCAAUUCUAGGCCCAUAUCUGGAUUAAUUGCUGAACUCAUAGGUAGGCAGUUCUCUGGAUGGCAAUCAGGAAGUUCUAGAAGUCUACAAGUCUGUAAGAAGAUGCUGUAGUUGUUCCAUUAGAAAAACUCACCUCAGCAUUUGAAGUUAAUAUAUUUUAAGUUAAAGUUAAUUAUGCCUUUGAACCCCUGAGGUUUCGUGUCGUAACCACAGUUUAGAAUAUCAAAGUAUCACUGCCCUGUGGUAUUUUUGGGAGACGCCCGUGGUACAUAGUGCUGCCAUCAUGUAUCCACCAAUGGUACUCGGUUUUUAGCCAUGUGAAUAAGGAAGCAUUGACGCUACAGAGUUAGUUGUGUUGGAACUUCUAAGUGUUUGAUUUUGUGUUGCUACUAUUUGGAAUAAUUAGGUGAGUGUUUUGUAAUAAUAUCAAUGGUUAUAUUGUUAUUAAUAAAAUUAUGUAUUAUUAUCAUUGGUUUG